AAGCGGCUGUCAAAAUUUUGUAAUUCUUGGUAUCGGAGUGGCAAUCUGCAAAGCGGACAUUACAUGGAUGGAAGCAGUAAAUGAGUUGGGAGCGCGUUAAGGUCGACUAUAGUGCUCACUGCUGAAAGUUUCCAAAGGAUGCACCACCCAGCAUGGCAGAUUCUUCAGUCACGAGAGCAGAAGGAUUCUUUUGAACUGGCAUCACUCCCUCCCAAGUUCCUAUGAGAAUGCAGAUAAUGAAGAUGACAUGAAAGGAGGAGGAGGCUACUAUGGGGAAGGAGUGAAGUUGGGAAACACCCAACCAGGCAGGAGGAAGACCUCAAAUGUGGAAUUAGUUCUGAGUCAUUGUGCAGCCAGCAAGUCCAGAACUGACCUCCCCCUUAAGUUCCAUAGAAUCUUAUCUUACUGUUCCCUGGCUAAGGUUGACAGUCUGGAAAAAAAUCCUAUAUAAUAGGCAGAAUAUAAUAAAAUUGGAAGUUUUAACCUUA